GAUAUUGCACUGAUAUAUUUGAUUACUUAAGUUUGUCAGCUCUCAUUGAGAAUCGGAUUUUUAGUGUUCAUGGUGGUCUGUCUCCUGCCCUAUCAACAUUGGAUCAGAUUCGAACAAUUGAUAGAAAGCAAGAAGUACCUCAUGACGGUGCCAUGUGUGAUCUUCUCUGGUCAGAUCCUGAAGAUAUUGUGGAUGGUUGGGGUUUGAGUCCACGUGGUGCUGGUUUUCUAUUUGGUGGCAGUGUGGUCAUGUCUUUCAACCACUCAAACAAUAUUGACUAUAUAUGCCGUGCUCAUCAGUUGGUAAUGGAAGGAUACAAAUGGAUGUUCAAUAACCAAAUAGUUACAGUCUGGUCAGCUCCGAACUACUGUUACAGAUGUGGUAACGUGGCUGCAAUCUUGGAGUUGGAUGAGAACCUUAACAAGCGGUUUCGUGUUUUUGAUGCAGCUCCACAGGAAUCAAGAGGCACACCUGCCAAAAAACCUGCACCUGAUUAUUUCUUAUGAUACAAUUGGCAAAGCCUUUUAUUAUUAGAUACAAGUGAAUCGAUGACACAGUAACAUUGUGAAGAAAACCCAGAGCAAAACCAGAAGAGCUAAAUGGGAGGUUGCCCAGUAACCAGGAAAAACUCGUACUUUCUGGUUUUUUUUUUUUUUUUUUUUUUUUU
rnacentral:misc_RNA from 1 species